rnacentral:rRNA from 1 species
UACGAAGGGGGCUAGCGUUGCUCGGAAUCACUGGGCGUAAAGGGCGCGUAGGCGGCCGAUUAAGUCGGGGGUGAAAGCCUGUGGCUCAACCACAGAAUUGCCUUCGAUACUGGUUGGCUUGAGACCGGAAGAGGACAGCGGAACGUGCGAGUGUAGAGGUGAAAUUCGUAGAUAUUCGCAAGAACACCAGUGGCGAAGGCGGCUGUCUGGUCCGGUUCUGACGCUGAGGCGCGAAAGCGUGGGAGCAAACAGG